rnacentral:lncRNA from 1 species
CCAGGAAUCAAUGUGUUUGGAGAAAUAUGCGGUCCUUUUUAUUUCCAGGAAUCACCUCUUUGCAACCUGCAAGGCAUGCUUAGUGGGAUUUGUCUAACGGGCCAGAUUGUAUCAUAUGAAACCACCAUUGGAUCUACACCAUAGAUCUCAAAAUGCCUCGAACUCUUUUAUUCAUCUGAUGGCACAGCUCUCAGAGAGAGCGGCUGAUGAUCAAAUGAUAGAUUCAUGCAAAGGAAGGUGGAGCAUACUUUUGUGUGAAAGAUACACCCAUGACCC